GAUGCCUUUGACCCCACUUGGGGUCAAGAUCUCUCUGCUGCUCAGCUCCAAGCCUGUCUUCUGCAGGACAAAGCUGGGGGAAAAGGUAAAGGAAGGAGAAAGGGGUAGAAAAGCUCUCCUCUUUUACGGGGUCCCCGUCAUUCAGAGAAGUCCGUGUGGCCGCCUGUCCUACAGUGGGCGCCGCAGCCCUUCAAUUGGACAGGGGUGGGGAGUCAAGGGAAGCUCCUGGCUCCCUGGUGCUGAGAGAAAGGAGAACUUGCCCAUAGCAGUGCUCCAGGCUGGCUAGAGCUGGAUGGAGAAGAGUGUUGGUGUCAGGUCUUCAAACUACCUUCACCUUUCCACAAGGACAGCUUGGCAUCUCUGGGGAUUGCAAUCCUGUUUUGCAAUCAGAGUGAAUUGCCAGAGGAAAAGACAUGGCUGUAGGCAACAUUACAGCUUAGCUCCUAAGAUGUGCAGCACUGGGCACAACCCUCUAACCCCCGCAGUAAACAGCUCCUUGUAUUCCUACAGCAACAGUAGAUAGCCAACAGACAGAUGAUGUAGGCACAGGGUUUCUUCUUUGCUGGAGAAGUAGAGAGAUCUUUCCUCUGGGUGGGAAGUAAGCCAGAAAUUAGUCUAUACGUUGGAGGUUUGGAAAUGCCACCCUGUGCGUGUGAGGAGCUCAGAAGCGUGUUCGUCCCUGCUGCUCUCUUCUGCCCCAUUCAUACUCUAGAACAUCUUUCUUACAGCUUCACUGGCCCUCAUGCUAUUUUGGCCUGGCAGAUCCCUCCAGUUGCCUAAUGCACAGAGUACAUCAGUCUGCAUGACCUGUAUCUGCAGGUGUAUCACAAACGCAAAGACAACAUCUGGAGGCUGAAGAGAGAGGGUUACGUCACCAGUGACGGCAAAGUGGUUUGCACUCUGAAGGAGUUCAAUGAGUACAGGCAGUAUCUGACCACGCUCAAGCUGGAGGCAGAGAAAACGUUCGUGCGAGAGGAG